rnacentral:rRNA from 1 species
UUAAGCGACUAAGCGUACACGGUGGAUGCCCGGCAGUCAGAGGCGAUGAAGGACGUGCUAAUCUGCGAUAAGCGUCGGUAAGGUGAUAUGAACCGUUAUAACCGGCGAUUUCCGAAUGGGGAAACCAGUGUGAUUCGUCACACUAUCAUUAACUGAAUCCAUAGGUUAAUGAGGCGAACCGGGGGAACUGAAACAUCUAAGUACCCCGAGGAAAAGAAAUCAACCGAGAUUCCCCCAGUAGCGGCGAGCGAACGGGGAGCAGCCCAGAGCCUGAAUCAGUGUGUGUGUUAGUGGAAGCGUCUGGAAAGGCGCGCGAUACAGGGUGACAGCCCCGUACACAAAAAUGCAUGCUGUGAGCUCGAUGAGUAGGGCGGGACACGUGGUAUCCUGUCUGAAUAUGGGGGGACCAUCCUCCAAGGCUAAAUACUCCUGACUGACCGAUAGUGAACCAGUACCGUGAGGGAAAGGCGAAAAGAACCCCGGCGAGGGGAGUGAAAAAGAACCUGAAACCGUGUACGUAGCAGUGGGAGCACGCUUAGGCGUGUGACUGCGUACCUUUUGUAUAAUGGGUCAGCGACUUAUAUUCUGUAGCAAGGUUAACCGAAUAGGGGAGCCGAAGGGAAACCGAGUCUUAACUGGGCGUUAAGUUGCAGGGUAUAGACCCGAAACCCGGUGAUUCAGCCAUGGGCAGGUUGAAGGUUGGGUAACACUAACUGGAGGACCGAACCGACUAAUGUUGAAAAAUUAGCGGAUGACUUGUGGCUGGGGUGAAAGGCCAAUCAAACCGGGAGAUAGCUGGUUCUCCCCGAAAGCUAUUUAGGUAGCGCCUCGUGAAUUCAUCUCCGGGGGUAGAGCACUGUUUCGGCAAGGGGGUCAUCCCGACUUACCAACCCGAUGCAAACUGCGAAUACCGGAGAAUGUUAUCACGGGAGACACACGGCGGGUGCUAACGUCCGUCGUGAAGAGGGAAACAACCCAGACCGCCAGCUAAGGUCCCAAAGUCAUGGUUAAGUGGGAAACGAUGGGAAGGCCCAGACAGCCGUGAUGUUGGCUUAGAAGCAGCCAUCAUUUAAAGAAAGCGUAAUAGCUCACUGGUCGAGUCGGCCUGCGCGGAAGAUGUAACGGGGCUAAACCAUGCACCGAAGCUGCGGCAGCGACGCUGAUGCGUUGUUGGGUAGGGGAGCGUUCUGUAAGCCUGCGAAGGUGUGCUGUGAGGCAUGCUGGAGGUAUCAGAAGUGCGAAUGCUGACAUAAGUAACGAUAAAGCGGGUGAAAAGCCCGCUCGCCGGAAGACCAAGGGUUCCUGUCCAACGUUAAUCGGGGCAGGGUGAGUCGACCCCUAAGGCGAGGCCGAAAGGCGUAGUCGAUGGGAAACAGGUUAAUAUUCCUGUACUUGGUGUUACUGCGAAGGGGGGACGGAGAAGGCUAUGUUGGCCGGGCGACGGUUGUCCCGGUUUAAGCGUGUAGGCUGGUUUUCCAGGCAAAUCCGGAAAAUCAAGGCUGAGGCGUGAUGACGAGGCACUACGGUGCUGAAGCAACAAAUGCCCUGCUUCCAGGAAAAGCCUCUAAGCAUCAGGUAACAUCAAAUCGUACCCCAAACCGACACAGGUGGUCAGGUAGAGAAUACCAAGGCGCUUGAGAGAACUCGGGUGAAGGAACUAGGCAAAAUGGUGCCGUAACUUCGGGAGAAGGCACGCUGAUAUGUAGGUGAAGUCCCUCGCGGAUGGAGCUGAAAUCAGUCGAAGAUACCAGCUGGCUGCAACUGUUUAUUAAAAACACAGCACUGUGCAAACACGAAAGUGGACGUAUACGGUGUGACGCCUGCCCGGUGCCGGAAGGUUAAUUGAUGGGGUCAGCGCAAGCGAAGCUCUUGAUCGAAGCCCCGGUAAACGGCGGCCGUAACUAUAACGGUCCUAAGGUAGCGAAAUUCCUUGUCGGGUAAGUUCCGACCUGCACGAAUGGCGUAAUGAUGGCCAGGCUGUCUCCACCCGAGACUCAGUGAAAUUGAACUCGCUGUGAAGAUGCAGUGUACCCGCGGCAAGACGGAAAGACCCCGUGAACCUUUACUAUAGCUUGACACUGAACAUUGAGCCUUGAUGUGUAGGAUAGGUGGGAGGCUUUGAAGUGUGGACGCCAGUCUGCAUGGAGCCGACCUUGAAAUACCACCCUUUAAUGUUUGAUGUUCUAACGUUGACCCGUGAUCCGGGUUGCGGACAGUGUCUGGUGGGUAGUUUGACUGGGGCGGUCUCCUCCUAAAGAGUAACGGAGGAGCACGAAGGUUGGCUAAUCCUGGUCGGACAUCAGGAGGUUAGUGCAAUGGCAUAAGCCAGCUUGACUGCGAGCGUGACGGCGCGAGCAGGUGCGAAAGCAGGUCAUAGUGAUCCGGUGGUUCUGAAUGGAAGGGCCAUCGCUCAACGGAUAAAAGGUACCGGGGAUAACAGGCUGAUACCGCCCAAGAGUUCAUAUCGACGGCGGUGUUUGGCACCUCGAUGUCGGCUCAUCACAUCCGGGCUGAAGUAGGUCCCAAGGGUAUGGCUGUUCGCCAUUUAAAGUGGUACGCGAGCUGGGUUUAGAACGUCGUGAGACAGUUCGGUCCCUAUCUGCCGUGGGCGCUGGAGAACUGAGGGGGGCUGCUCCUAGUACGAGAGGACCGGAGUGGACGCAUCACUGGUGUUCGGGUUGUCAUGCCAAUGGCACUGCCCGGUAGCUAAAUGCGGAAGAGAUAAGUGCUGAAAGCAUCUAAGCACGAAACUUGCCCCGAGAUGAGUUCUCCCUGACUCCUUGAGAGUCCUGAAGGAACGUUGAAGACGACGACGUUGAUAGGCCGGGUGUGUAAGCGCAGCGAUGCGUUGAGCUAACCGGUACUAAUGAACCGUGAGGCUUAACCU